GGAUGCCAUUUAAAUUUAAAUUUCAGUUAAACAACAAAAUUUCUUUUCAUAAAGUAUGUCCUGUGAAAUAUUGGGGACAUACUUAAGCUAAAAAAAAUUACUCACUGUUUAUCUGAAAUUCAAAU
ensembl:miRNA